ACGGGCGUAGCUCAAUUGGCAGAGCACCUGAUUCCAAAUCAGGGGGUUGGGGGUUCGACUCCUCCCGCCCGUGCCA
rnacentral:tRNA from 1 species